rnacentral:rRNA from 1 species
GAAACUAAAUAGGAUUCCGUUAGUAGUGGCGAACGAAAACGGAUUAGUCCAGCGCUUAAUCUCGCAAAAAAGGAAACCUGUUUCCGGACUUUUGCGCGAAAUGUAGCGUUCGGACAGACAUCGUGACGUGUUUGCGGGUAUCGGUGCGCGAGUAUCGGUAUUCGUGCACGUUUUUUGAAUGCUUCGGCACGUGACAUUUAAGUCCUAUUGAASUAGGCCAAACUAUGAUCGAAACUCAUAGAGGGUGUUAGGCCCGUAAAAUGUCGCGACGAACUGCCGCAGCAGAUGUCGGUGUCUGUCUCAGAGUCGGAUUGCUUGAGAGUGCAAUCUUAAGUUGGUGGUAAACUCCAUCGAAGACUAAAUACGGCCACAAGACCGAUAGCGAACAAGUACCGUGAGGGAAAGUUGAAAAGCACUCUGAAGAGAGAGUCAAAAGUACGUGAAACCGUUUAAGAGUAAACCCGUGUAAGUCGUGUAGUUUUUGACACGUUACCGAGUUGGGAUUCAAUAAAUGAGUUUUAUACAUGUUGUGUAAAAAUUGUUUAUGCAUUUCCCGUGACUCGGUUCGAAAUCGCAAAGUAUUUGCCGUUUUGACGCCGUCGCCCGAUCUGUGUCCCGUACAUUUUAUGUGUAUAGGUUACGGGUCGGCCAACAAGUCCGGAAGACGAGACGUUUCGRUCGGUUUUCACGAAUCGAUCGUGCGUCGUACGAUGGUCGGAAUUGUAUUUCCGUCGCAUUUCUUUCUCUCUCGGGGUAAGUUGUUCGACGGGAAUUUUCGACAAUCGAUGCCUACUGUUCGUCGUUCCAAUAUGGCAGAUACUUCAUUGUAGCAAUGGACCGUUACCGGUUCAUGUCGAAGUGCGGUUAUCGUGUGCGCGAUAGCGACGGCCGCUGUGCUUCGAUCUGGCGAACUUGAAGCGAUUUUACACGGGACCCGUCUUGAAACACGGACCAAGGAGUCUAACAAGUGCGCGAGUCAAUGGUACUGGUUAUUUUUAUAAAAUUUGCAACAAGCGGUGUGCAAAUGUCGUUCUGUUGCUUAUUGAAAAUUCCACAAAACCAUAGGCGCAAUGAAGGUGAACAUGGACGACCUUUGUGUUGUUCAAGUGAUGAGACUGACUCGUGUUGUGUUUUUUUGAACGCUGCGCGCGUGCAGUCGCAAUCACGGAACGUUUUGGACACAUGAUCGCUCUUCGGGGCUUUCAUGCAGUCGAAACGUAUCAAGAGCGUACUUGUUGGGACCCGAAAGAUGGUGAACUAUGCCUGGCCAGGAUGAAGUCAGGAGAAAUUCUGAUGGAAGUCCGUAGCGAUUCUGACGUGCAAAUCGAUCGUCAGAGCUGGGUAUAGGGGCGAAAGACUAAUCGAACCAUCUAGUAGCUGGUUCCUUCCGAAGUUUCCCUCAGGAUAGCUGGCAUGAUUUAAAUGUCGAGUCACAUUCGGUAAAGCGAAUGAUUAGAGGAAUUGGGAACGAAACGUUCUCAACCUAUUCUCAAACUUUAAAUGAGUGAGACGAUCGGCUUGCUUAAAUGCUUAUUGCGCACCUCGUGCGUAAGUGAAGCCGAUUAUACGGUAGCGGUGGUGGCGAUUUAUCGUCGUCAUYUCGUUAUCGUGURCUUAGAUCGAAUAUUGCCAAGUGGGCCAUUUUUGG